rnacentral:misc_RNA from 1 species
AACGGCAUAUAUGAAUUGUGUUUCCUUCUGCCUGUUUGAGUUUUACAAACUCAAUUCUGAACCAUAUCAGUAUGAAAAAUCAUCUAACCAAAAGUAUAUAAAGAAACUUAUCAAAAGAGCACCAAAGUCUCAUCAGCAUCCAUAAACCAUACACACAAAUCACCAACCAUUCAAAAAGAAUAAAUAAGCGAAAAGGAUGAUAUAAAAGCUAGCCCAACCCAAACCCAAAGUAGCUUUUCAACUUGUAAUAUUGUUCUCAAAGCAAGCUUUAAAGGGAAAAAAAUGCUAACUCAA